AUGAUCCUGACCUUUGAUACAGCAACAGGCCAGCGUCCAGAUGAGGAUGGUAUAUAUUUUAGUCAUUUAUUAGAAAAAUCAGAGUUGUUUUCAGUUCUUAGUUUCUUGUUCAGGGUGCAGGAGGUUUUUGUACGGCCACUUAAUGAGUUUGUAUCACUGUGGUACACUUUUGGUGGAGGAACCAAAGUCAUCGUUGACUUGGGUGUGGUACGGCCCACUCUGACUGUCCUCCCUCCCUCCAAAGAGGAGGAGAAGCAGAACAGUGCCACUGUGGUGUGUCUGGCCAGUGGGGGCUUCCCCUCAAAUUGGAAUCUGGGCUGGAAGGUGGGGGGCACCAGCACAUCCUCAGGGGUGUCAAACAGCCCUGAAGUCCUGGGGACAAACGGUCACUACAGCUGGAGCAGCACCCUGAGCCUCUCUGCAGACCAGUGGAGGAAGGCGGGCUCAGUGACCUGUGAGGCCAGUCUGAGUGGACAGAGCCCUGUCACUCAAACCCUGAACCCUGACCGCUGCUCAGAGUAGAGCCUCAGCAACACUUCCUGUCUGCAAAUGUGUUUUAUAGUUUGAUGAAGCCACACAUUUCCUCUGUUCUCAUAUUCUUGCAAACAUUUGACUCUUUUCAUGUGCAUGCAGAUUUCAUCAGCUAAUCUUUUCCACCUGUGCUUUAAAACCAUGCUGUAAAAAAGUCAACAUCACAAAAUAAAAUCACAGC